rnacentral:rRNA from 1 species
UACGAAGGGGGCGAGCGUUGUUCGGAUUUACUGGGCGUAAAGGGCGCGCAGGCGGUCUUGAAAGUCAGGCGUGAAAGCCCCGGGCUUAACCUGGGAAUUGCGCUUGAUACUCUGAGACUGGAGUACGGGAGAGGAGAGUGGAAUUCCCAGUGUAGCGGUGAAAUGCGUAGAUAUUGGGAGGAACACCAGUGGCGAAGGCGGCUCACUGGACCGGUACUGACGCUGAGACGCGAAAGCGUGGGGAGCGAACAGG